rnacentral:lncRNA from 1 species
CAUUGUUCUCUGUGCACGGUAGAACCCUGCACUGUUCUCUGUGCACGGUAGAAUCCUGCACUGUUCUCUGUGCAUGGUAGCCACAUCAUGAUGCUGCCACCGCCAUUCUUCACCGUAGGGAUGGUGUCAGGUUUCCUCCAGACGUCACGCUUGGCAUUCAAGCCAAAGAGUUCAAUCUUGUUUCUCAUGGUCUCAUUUCUAAAAACCUGUUUUUGCAUUGUCAUUAUGUGGUAUUGUGUGUAUAUCGACGAGGAAAUAAGGUUACUGAAUCCAUUUCAGAUUAAGGCUUUAACGUAACAAAAUGUGCAAAAAAAAGUCAAAGGGGUCUGAAUACUUUCCCGAAAUAUCCAAGUUUCAUUCUAGACACCAGAAGUAAAAAUGAAGGUCUCUUAACAGACCUUACGCAAAGUUGGUAGAGACUUGUCAAAUAAAUAGCUGCUGCCAUAAUCAAAGGUCAACCGUGAGAUUACCACCUGUGACAUAGCUACGAUGACACACAUGGCUGCUGCACGAGAGAUCUGAGCCCCAGGUAACGAUCAUUUACAGGAGGAAGAAAACGUUCUGCAACGUGGGAAACCGGUUGCUCGCUGGGCCCCUCCUACUUCCGCCGUGCUGGAUGUAAGCCAUGCCUGACAGCCCCACCCACGGACUUCCAUUACGCCCGCUGUGGGAGUAUAUCAAUACUGGGAAGACAGGAACAGGCUCAGAGAGAAAGAGAAGGAGAGAGAGAGAGAGAGAGAGAGAGAAAUGGACCGAGAGUGCAUCACACGAGGGGUCAGGAGGAGAUGAAUAGAUCUACCCCACCUACCCAACGGACCCAUGGACCUUUUUGACCCCUCACCCCUGCAGCGAUUGGCUCUCCUGGUGUUGUGGCAGGGCCUGGCCAGCUCUGCCUUGUGGUACCAAGUGGAGAGGAGAGACAGAGACAAGGCUGAGACCUGGAUCCAGGCCAGGCGGUUCUGUCAGAGGCACUACGUUGACCUGGCUGUCCUAAGCACCCAGGACCAGUACCAGUUCCUUCUGCAGACCAUGGCUGCUGGUGAGAGGGACACCUUCUGGCUGGGUCUGCAGCCCCACACUGCCCCUGGUGGCUGGGGGUGGAAGUGGGUGGAUGGCCAGGGGCUGAGCUAUGAUCGCUGGUACAUAAAGAGUCCUGGACCUGGACUCUGUGGUUGUCUGGAGACCAGCCUCAAAGGGGAGAAUAAACUACUGUCCAGAUCCUGUGGCGAGACCGUGGAACGACAUGGUUUCAUCUGCCAAGGCGCUGUACCCCCUGAGCGGCUAAAGGCGGAGUCUGAAGGGACUGAUCAUGUGACUGUGCAUUGGGACACGCCCCCUCUGAUGCAGACAGCUGAUCAUAGCUACAGAAUUACCACAUGUAGCUCCCAGCCUCACCCUCAUCUUUCUCUCCUCCACCCUUCUCUCCCUCCUUGCCACACCCCUCCUCCUCUUUUCCUCUGUCCUUUCCCCCACCCCCCUCAUCCCACCACCCCAUGUUGCGUCCUCCACCUCCCCUACUCCAACAGCUCCACCUCCCACUCCACCCGGAUCUCUGGCCUAACCCCGGGAACCCAGUACACCAUCAGCGUUGCCAUAGUGAUCACGCGCCCAGAUCCUGUCACCGGUGACAACGUCACCACCGACAGUGACCCAGUCACGGUGACCGUCACAACAAUAGGGGGCGGUGGUGGGCAGCAGGUGGUUGCCAUGGUACUGAGUGUGGUCAAGUUCAUCUAUCUGGUUGUCUUACUCUGUUUACUUUACCUCAUCCUGAAGAGAAAUGCUGUCCAGGCUCCUGAACUUGAUCUGGAAUCAGUAGAACUCCCCACUGAAGAAGAAUACAUUUUAGACAUGAUUAAAACUGGUCCUACAUCAGUUGAAUUCCCUAAUGAAGAAUGCAUUGUUGAGCUGCCACCUGAAGAAUAAUGCAUUGUCUGACUAGAACUGGUUCUAGAUCAGUGGUGCCCACUCCUGGAGAAUGCAUUGUUUGAGCUGCCACCUGAUUACAACUGGUUGUAGAUCAGAUCUACCUGCCAAAUCUACCAGCUUUUCUUGAUAGUGUAAAGAGUUAAGGGAGAAUAUCAAUACAAGCCACAGACAGUAUGCGUUAUUAGUCUUGAUGCAUACUUAUAAACAAAAUAGUUUUAUCUUAACAAGAUAUACCUGUUUAACUAUACGUUUUUUGAAAAGUACUGAUACGCACUUAAGUGCAAAGUAGAUUUGCCUUAGUUCACAAAUGACACCCUAUUCCCUACAUAGUGCACUACUUUAGACCAGAUCCCUAUGGCACCCUAUUCCCUACAUAGUGCACUACAUAGUGCAAAGUAGAUUUGUUAUUAUCGACAAGGACUUAAUAAGCAUUGAGAAUGAGUUAAGCUGCCUCUUUAAUAAACAGGUUAGAAAAAUAGGUAUUUUGACCUCAGUACGACGUUUAGAAAAUGAUUUUCUUUAUUUAUUUGACGUUUUACCACACAUUGUCAGUCGUCGUGAUUUUCAUGCCGGUUAUGGAAACAUGUUGCCUCCUCCUGCAUAUAGAGAGGAGAAAUGUACAUUAGUUGUAUGUCAUAAAGUAUGUAAUAUAUAUAGCCUUAGUUCACAAAUUACACCCUAUUCCCUACAUAGUGCACUACUUUAGACCAGAUCCCUAUGGCACCCUAUUCCCUACAUAGUGCACUACUUUAGACCAGAUCCCUAUGGCACCCUAUUCCCUACAUAGUGCACUACUUUAGAUCAGAUCCCUAUGGCACCCUAUUCCCUACAUAGUGCACUACUUUAGACCAGAUCCCUAUGGCACCCUAUUCCCUACAUAGUGCACUACGUAGCAAAAAGGGUGAAAUUUGAGAUGCAGACAAAGGGAAAUAACAAGUGAAAGGUGAAAACCCCAUGAAAAUGAUUUUUGUAUGAAUGAUUUAGCUUUUUGUCUGAAUGAUUUAGCUUUUUGUCUGAAUGAUUUAGCUUCUUGUUCAAAUGAUUUAGCUUUUUGUCUGAAUGAUUUAGCUUUUUGUCUGAAUGAUUUAGCUUUUUGUCUGAAUGAUUUAGCUUUUUGUCUGAAUGAUUUAGCUUUUUGUCUGAAUGAUUUAGCUUUUUGUCUGAAUGAUUUAGCUUUUUGUCUGAAUGAUUUAGCUUUUUGUCUGAAUGAUUUAGCUUUUUGUCUGAAUGAUUUAGCUUUUUGUCUGAAUGAUUUAGCUUUUUGUCUGAAUUAUUUAGCUUUUUGUCUGAAUUAUUUAGCUUUUUGUCUGAAUGAUUUAGGUUUUUGUCUGAAUUAUUUAGUUUUUUUCUACACGUUAUUUAGCUUUUUGUCUGAAUUAUUUAGCUUUUUGUCUGAAUGAUUUAGCUUUUUGUAUGAAUGAUUUAGCUUUUUGUAUGAAUGAUUUAGCUUUUUGUCUGAAUGAUUUAGCUUUUUUCUACACGUUAUUUAGCUUUUGUAGACAUUAUUUAGCUUUUUGAACAAUUGACUUUAUUGUUGGCAUUUUGUCUUCUUCAACAAAACGUAUGAGUGGCUUAACAGCCUAACAUUGUAACAGGGUACUUCUAUAUUAGAAAUUUAACAGUAAAGUAACUUUUUGUGUUCUGGAAUUGACUGAGGUUCAUUUGUACUGCUCAAAUACUAUUUUAGUCAAUAAAUAAACUCAUUGUUAUCGUUCGUUCCGUCUCUUUUUUUACACAUUUUCAGAAAAUUAUCAACAGUCA